rnacentral:tRNA from 1 species
UCCCUGGUGAUCUAGUGGUUAGGACUCAGUGCUUUCACCACUGCAGCCCAGGUUCAAUCCCUGAUGUGGGAA